rnacentral:rRNA from 1 species
GUACUUACUCCUACGGGAGGCAGCAGUGGGGAAUAUUGCACAAUGGGCGAAAGCCUGAUGCAGCAACGCCGCGUGAGGGAUGACGGCCUUCGGGUUGUGAACCUCUUUUAGCAAGGAAGAAGCGAAAGUGACGGUACUUGCAGAAAAAGCGCCGGCUAACUACGUGCCAGCAGCCGCGGUAAUACGUAGGGCGCAAGCGUUAUCCGGAAUUAUUGGGCGUAAAGAGCUCGUAGGCGGUUUGUCGCGUCUGCUGUGAAAUCCCGAGGCUCAACCUCGGGUCUGCAGUGGGUACGGGCAGACUAGAGUGCGGUAGGGGAGAUUGGAAUUCCUGGUGUAGCGGUGGAAUGCGCAGAUAUCAGGAGGAACACCGAUGGCGAAGGCAGAUCUCUGGGCCGUAACUGACGCUGAGGAGCGAAAGGGUGGGGAGCAAACAGGAUUAGAAACCCGAGUAGUCCAGGCAU